CCUCACGCGACUUCCCGAUACAGGCUCUCCUUUUUCCUAACUCUACGGCUAUUUCUUUGUUUAUUCCUCCAAUUAAUACCGUAUUUUAUCUCAUUGAACGAUAUUAAGACAGUAUUUUAUGUUAUUGAAGGAUGUGAUAAAGAACAAAAAAAGGAGAGCCUGUGUAGAGGCUAAGCUAGAGCUAGCUAGAGUGAGUGUCUGCAGGCAUGAGCUGGAGGAGCACGCAGUCCAGUAUUAAUGGAUAUGGUGGCUAGUCUGCAGAGGGAGCUGGACAAUGCUAGGGUGAGUAGGUUUGCUUAGGAAUAUUAAAUCCUUUCAGAAAGUACACGUUGUUGACAUGUUUCAAUCAGCUUAGUAGUGAUCCCGCUCCCUCUAAUCAAGUGUUGACAUUCUGCUGAUCUAGUAGCAUAAUAAUGCAUUAUCUUGAUUUAAUUAACAGCAGUGAAUAAUGAUGUAGCUGAUCUUAUCAGUACAAUACAGAGUGUCCUUCAGUAAUGUGUGUUUUAGUUAGUAGGCAUUGCUUAGGAAUAAUGACAGUGUUAUGUUGUUGUCAUGAUUGUGUGUUCCUCGAGGGACUGAGUGUGGAUCAUCAUUUGAGGGUAGUGAGGACAGCUGCCUGGGAGGUGAGGGGGACAUGGCGUCCUCUGGGAGAGCAGUUGGGUGUCAAUGAGGGGACAGUAGAUGUGAUAGCUGAGGAGAAUGCCAGAAGACCCAACAGUGUCACCAAGUGUUUCACACACAUGCUCGUAGAGUGGUUGCAAGGUGGUCCACAACUGGAGGACUUGUUGACAGCUCUAGAGUCUCUCGUUAUCAGUAGAGCUGACAUUGCUGAGGACCUCAAGGGAAGACUGCAAGUGACUCUAGCCUGACAAUAUCCUCUAGCCAUUAUAAACUGUGACUAGCUGCUGGCAUUUAUUUUUUGUUCUUUAUAAGUGUUUGUGAGGUGACUACUAGCACUCUAUCCACCAUAAUUAUACCUGAUGUGAAUGCUUUGUUGAGUCAAUGUCUGUCCACACAAUUGCACAUGCCAGCUAUGUUAUCAAUGAUAAA